UCUUCCUUUUCUUGACCAACUCAUCCUUCUCAUCAUCUUCUCUAUAAGCAUCAUCGGUCAUUACUUCUUGGAACACUUGUUGGGGAGUUGAUUCACUAAGUGUUGUCUUGACUAGCACAGUGAUCAAUGUGUCAAAUCUCUUGGGCAAGCUUCUCAAGAAUUUCAUAGAGAAUUGACUAUCUUUCACUUCUUCCCCAAGUGCCUUGAGCUCAUUCACGAUGACUUGCAACCGGUGAAACAUCUCCGGCACACUUUCAUCUUCUUGCAUCUUGAAGCUUGAGAACUUUUCUUGGAGGAUGUAUGCUUUGGCGGUCU
rnacentral:lncRNA from 1 species